ACACUUGCUGCACACAGACCUCCCCUGCAGUGCAUCCCUUUGGGUCGCCCCGGGAGAGCCAGGGCUGCGGGCAGUUCCCACACCAACUCAGACCGCAUCUGUCCACUGCCUAGCGGGGCACCUCUCUGCCAAUCCCGAAGGGCUGCUCUCGCGUCCUCACGGGAAAGGUAGUUUCCAGGUUGGGCGCCAACAGCGCCAGGCUUUGAGCGUGGGCUCUGCGCAUGCCUCAUCCACUGGCUACCUCUGCGUUUCUGCGUUUCCGCCUUUCCUUUUGUUUGUCUCACGUUUUGCGUGGGAGGCGGUCCCGGGAUUUCAGGGGUCUACCGGCUCUCUUAUGGCGAAUGCAACCCGAAGAGAGAGUGAGCUGUAUCUUCAGAGUUGUCUCCGUCUUUCCAAGAACAGAACAAAAUGAACAAGGGUAUUGUGCUCACAAACCAGAGGUGAUCUUCAGGCUGGAACAAGGAGAAGAACCAUGGAGACUGGAGGAAGAAUUCCCAAGCCAGAGCUUUCCAGUCUGGACAGCUGAUCACCUGAAAGAGAGGAGCCAAGAAAAUCAAUCUAAACAUUUGUGGGAAGUUGUAUUCAUCAAUAAUGAAAUGCUGACUAAGGAACAAGGCCCCUGAGGUGUUCAUGCACUGAUCCUGGACCUUGGAUUAAACCCUUGCAGUGCUGGAAGAAGAGGACUCUGCACUGCCUGCCACACCAGGACUGGAAGAUCAAUGGCCUUCCCUUCUUCCAAACUACCUUCCCAUGAGGUGGGGAUGGUGGUCACAUCUCCAACACUGGCGUGCUGUGGAAGAGACAUCAGCAUUCUCUGCAACAAAUUUGGAAACAGCCUAAAGAGACGUUUCUACUUCAAAGAGAUGCACUGAGGAAGUGCACUGGCACUGCUGGGGACUCACCUGGGGCCCAGGGCUGAGGCUUCUCGUGUCCUUGGAGCUGCUGUCCUCCCGAGGAGCGUCCACACUGCAGCCAGCUCAGCCUCAGGUGUCCUAUCUGGUUUUGAAACCAAAUCUAAGUGGGAAAAGAAGAUUCAAGUUUUAUCCGAUUUAGUCUACAUAAUUUUAAGUAUCUAUUUGAGCUCAACACCAAGAAUCACUUCCUUCUCUGUCCCAUCUGUGGUCUCCAAAGGAAAGGUCCCUGGGUUAGGAGACACUGGCUAGCAUCCUAAAGCCAGAGCUGGCCGAUGGGUGUGUGUCCACUCUUCCUUCACCUCUUCCCCACCCUACAGUUGUUUUUGUCUCAUGCUCACUUGCUCUUUCUGCCUCCCUCUCACUCUUUAGGUCUCACAAAGGCUUUGGUCAAGGACUGACUGACUUUCCUUGGCUCUCUGUCAUCUCCCCAUAAUCAAAGGCAUUUCAUAACACACAAUCCAUGUGAAGGGACCUCUGAUCAAAAUUCACUUAAAGAGGAGCUCACUAAUUACCAGUACUUACUGCUGAGCCUGGAAUCAUUCGUAUAUACCCCAGAGUUCAUUCAUUCCAGACACAGUACUAGAUAAGGAGACUCCUAUGAGCCAAAAACCUAACUCUGAAUAGACUGUGACUGUCAUAAUCAAACCCUGUGGCUGCCUCCUUCUUACUGGAGGGCAUAGAGGAAUGCAGAUUUUUGUUUGUUUGUUUUGAGACAGAGUGUCGCUGCAAUGCCCAGGCUGAAGUACAAUGGUGCGGUCUCGGCUCACUGCAACCUCUGCCUCCCGGGUUCAAGCAAUUCUCCUGCCUUAGCCUCCUGAGUAGCUGGGAUUACAGGCAUGCACCAUCAUGCCCUGGCUAAUUUUUGUAUUUUGUGUAGAGACGGGGUUUCACCAUGUUGGCCAGGCUGGUCUUGAACUCCUGACCUUGGGUGAUCCACCUGCCUCGGCCUCCUAAAGUGCUGAGAUUACAGGCGUGAGCCACCAUGCUCAGCCAGGAAUGUGCUUUUAAUCAUUUCUUAGUGUUUCAUGUGGGGACUUGAUAACUCACAAUAAGGAUUCUAUCCUAAAAGACAAGCAAUACCUGUUGACCUGCUCUUAUGUCCCAGGCAGUUUGUAAAACUGUUUCAUCUAUUCUCUCAAUAUGUCACUUCAAAUAUGAUCAGGAAAGAAGUCUUAAACAUGGCUGGAAAUGUGGGGGCAACAAAUACAUUAGUGAACACCCUGGCGGAUCCAA
rnacentral:lncRNA from 1 species